rnacentral:rRNA from 1 species
GCUGGCAGUGCGUCUUAAGCAUGCAAGUCAGACGGAAUGUAGUAAUACAUUCAGUGGCGAACGGGUGAGUAACGCGUGGAUAAUCUACCUACGAGAUGGGGAUAACUAUUAGAAAUAGUAGCUAAUACCGAAUAAAGUCAAUUAAGAUGUUAGUUGAUGAAAGGAAGCCUUUAAAGCUUCGCUUGUAGAUGAGUCUGCGUCUUAUUAGCUAGUUGGUGGGAUAAGAGCCUACCAAGGCUAUGAUAAGUAACCGGCCUGAGAGGGUGAUCGGUCACACUGGAACUGAGAUACGGUCCAGACUCCUACGGGAGGCAGCAGCUAAGAAUCUUCCGCAAUGGGCGAAAGCCUGACGGAGCGACACUGCGUGAACGAAGAAGGUCGAAAGAUUGUAAAGUUCUUUUAUAAGUGAGGAGUAAGCUUUGUAGGAAAUGACAAAGCGAUGACGUUAAUUUAUGAAUAAGCCCCGGCUAAUUACGUGCCAGCAGCCGCGGUAAUACGUAAGGGGCGAGCGUUGUUCGGGAUCAUUGGGCGUAAAGGGUGAGUAGGCGGAUAUGCAAGUCUAUGUGUAAAAUACCACAGCUCAACUGUGGAACUAUGCUGGAAACUGCAUGACUAGAGUCUGAUAGGGGAAGUUAGAAUUCCUGGUGUAAGGGUGGAAUCUGUUGAUAUCAGGAAGAAUACCAGAGGCGAAGGCGAACUUCUAGGUCAAGACUGACGCUGAGUCACGAAAGCGUAGGGAGCAAACAGGAUUAGAUACCCUGGUAGUCUACGCUGUAAACGAUGCACACUUGGUGUUAAUCGAAAGGUUAGUACCGAAGCUAACGUGUUAAGUGUGCCGCCUGGGGAGUAUGUUCGCAAGAAUGAAACUCAAAGGAAUUGACGGGGGCCCGCACAAGCGGUGGAGCAUGUGGUUUAAUUCGAUGAUACGCGAGGAACCUUACCAGGGCUUGACAUAUACAGGAUAUAGUUAGAGAUAACUAUUCCCCGUUUGGGGUCUGUAUACAGGUGCUGCAUGGUUGUCGUCAGCUCGUGCCGUGAGGUGUCGGGUUAAGUCCCGCAACGAGCGCAACCCUUGUUGUCUGUUACCAGCAUGUAAAGAUGGGGACUCAGACGAGACUGCCGGUGAUAAGCCGGAGGAAGGUGAGGAUGACGUCAAAUCAUCAUGGCCCUUAUGUCCUGGGCUACACACGUGCUACAAUGGCCUGUACAAAGCGAUGCGAAACAGUGAUGUGAAGCAAAACGCAGAAAGCAGGUCUCAGUCCAGAUUGAAGUCUGAAACUCGGCUUCAUGAAGUUGGAAUCGCUAGUAAUCGUAUAUCAGAAUGAUACGGUGAAUACGUUCUCGGGCCUUGUACACACCGCCCGUCAC